rnacentral:misc_RNA from 1 species
AAGGAUCAUUAAUGAGAUUAGCAUCUGGACAAAGGUUGUUGCUGGCUGCGUGCAUGUGCACGCCUUGACCCAGAUGUUAUUUGUCCUCUUUACACCUGUGCACCAUCUGUAGUUGGGGGAUGAUCACGAGAUUGUCGAAUGCGCCCCUUGCUACGAAUUUGUUUACAUUGCCCCUAAUAUAAAAAGUUUAUUUGGAAUGUUUGUGGAAUGGGAAAUACAACUUUCAGCAACGGAUCUCUUGGCUCUC